GACGAACGCUGGCGGCGUGCCUAAUACAUGCAAGUCGAGCGCUGAAGGCUGGUACUUGUACGAACUGGAUGAGCAGCGAACGGGUGAGUAACGCGUGGGGAAUCUGCCUUUGAGCGGGGGACAACAUUUGGAAACGAAUGCUAAUACCGCAUAAAAACUUUAAACACAAGUUUUAAGUUUGAAAGAUGCAAUUGCAUCACUCAAAGAUGAUCCCGCGUUGUAUUAGCUAGUUGGUGAGGUAAAGGCUCAUCAAGGCGAUGAUACAUAGCCGACCUGAGAGGGUGAGCAGCCACACUGGGACGGAGACACGGCCCAAACUCCUGCGGGAGGCAGCAGUAGGGAAUCUUCAGCGAUGGACGAAGGUCUGACCAAGCAACGCCGCGUGAGUGAAGAAGGUUUUCGGAUCGGAAAACUCGGUUGGUAGAUAGGAACGUUGGUGAGAGUGGAAAGCUCAGCAAGUGACGGUAACGGCUCAAAAAGGGACGGCUAACUACGUG
rnacentral:rRNA from 1 species